rnacentral:rRNA from 1 species
GACGAACGCUGGCGGCGUGCUUAACACAUGCAAGUCGAGCGAUGAAGCACCUUCGGGUGUGAAUUAGCGGCGAACGGGUGAGGAACACGUGAAGAAUCUGCCUUCAACUCUGGGAUAACUCCGGGAAACCGGGGCUAAUACCGGAUAUGAGCCUUGAUCGCAUGAUCGGGGCUGGAAAGUUUUUCGGUUGAAGAUGACUUCGCGGCCGAUCAGCUUGUUGGUGAGGUAAUGGCUCACCAAGGCGACGACGGGUAGCCGGCCUGAGAGGGCGACCGGCCACACUGGGACUGAGACACGGCCCAGACUCCUACGGGAGGCAGCAGUGGGGAAUAUUGGGCAAUGGAGGAAACUCUGACCCAGCGACGCCGCGUGAGGGAUGAAGGCCUUCGGGUUGUAAACCUCUUUCAGUAGGGAAGAAGCGAAAGUGACAGUACCUACAGAAGAAGCACCGGCUAACUAUGUGCCAGCCGCCGCCGUAA